rnacentral:lncRNA from 1 species
UACUGUAUCACCCUUCCCCUCUGUUUGAACUUCUUCAGGAAAUUGUCCGCUGCAAAAUGUUGCUUGAUCCUUUGAGGUCACAAUUUUGACAUCAACCUCUUGCAAAUCUUGAAAACGCAGAGCACUGGGUUCUUCUUCUUCAUGCUGAGAAUUAGGGAUGCUCUCUGAGGUAGACUCAAUUUCAGUGCCAUCCUUUUGAGGUGGACUGCUACAAUCUGCUUCAUGCUGAGAAUUUGGGAUGCUCUCUGAGGUAGACUCAAUUUCAGUGCCAUCCUUUUGAGGUGGACUGCUACAAUCUGCUUGCUUCUCUCCAUUGCAAACACUUGUUUCAGAAUCAGUGGAGCUGUCUUUAGGACCGUCAGAUACUUCCACUGAACAGCUUGUAGGAUCAACUGUCUUGUUUUCCAGGCUGUAUUCUGUGCUAGACAUUGAUGUUGGCUUGUCAUUCUGAGGU